ensembl:lncRNA
GUGAAGUAGGGUAGUAGUGAAGUAGGGUAGUAGUGAAGUAGUGUAGUGUAGUGAAGUAGGGUAGUAGUGAAGUAGGGUAGUGUAGUAGUGUAGUAGUGAAGUAGCGUAGUAGGGUAGUAGUGUAGUGAAGUAGGGUAGUGGGGUAGUGAAGUAGUGUAUGGGGUUAGUGAAGUAGUGUAGUAGGGUAGUAGUGUAGUGAAGUAGGUUAGUGUAGUAGUGAAGUAGUGUAGUAGGGUAGUAGUGUAGUGAAGUAGGGUAGUGGGGUAGUGAAGUAGGGUAGUAGUGUAGUGAAGUAGGGUAGUGGGGUAGUGAAGUAGUGUAGUAGGGUAGUAGUGUGGUGAAGUAGGGUAGUUGGGUAGUGAAGUAGUGUAGUGGGGUAGUAG